GUCUCAGUAGCAUAGUGGUUAAUGCACAGCCCCGGGGGGGGGUUGGAUAGGCUGAGACGCGGGUUCGAAUCCCGCCUAAGAUG
rnacentral:tRNA from 1 species